AAUAAUUUUCAGGCCUGUAAUUUUGCCAGUACUCAUUUUAAUAAUAAAGUGUUAUUACACCCUAAAUGUCCUAGCACUAGUCUUUACCUUGUAGCAGCAUUGACUGUCUUCUCUACUCUCACAGUGACCCUUUCCAUUCUUACACUAAACCUUUAUCAGUUUCUAGAAGUCAAGUUUUACAAAUCAGUCAGGACACUGUCAGCUACUGGAGGCAUAAGAAAAUGGUAACAACACAGCAGGAAUGGUCAAUUGUUCCUCAGCCAAAAGGUACUUAAUUGUAUUAUGCAUAGAAGGAAGAAACCAGCAUAGAAGGAAGAAACCAGCAUAGAAGGAAGAAACCAGCAAAACAAAACAAAACAAAACAAAACAAAUUAAGAAAUCCUCCAUCCCCAUAUAAUUCAUUCACCAGAUAAAGUUCAAGUCUGUAGUGAAAACACAGUGUGCUGACACAAACUUUCAAUAAAUAACCCUUUAUGAGAGAAGAUAACA